GGGUUGUGAGGUUAAGCGACUAAGCGUACACGGUGGAUGCCCUGGCAGUCAGAGGCGAUGAAGGACGUGCUAAUCUGCGAUAAGCGUCGGUAAGGUGAUAUGAACCGUUAUAACCGGCGAUUUCCGAAUGGGGAAACCCAGUGUGAUUCGUCACACUAUCAUUAACUGAAUCCAUAGGUUAAUGAGGCGAACCGGGGGAACUGAAACAUCUAAGUACCCCGAGGAAAAGAAAUCAACCGAGAUUCCCCCAGUAGCGGCGAGCGAACGGGGAGGAGCCCAGAGCCUGAAUCAGUGUGUGUGUUAGUGGAAGCGUUUGGAAAGGCGCGCGAUACAGGGUGACA
rnacentral:rRNA from 1 species